GGGGUGUGCUCAGAGCCAGGGGCCCUUAAGAAUGGCUCCUCUGUUUAUAACACACCCAACAGGAAUCUGGGGUGAUUGCGAUGAGGGGUAUACAAAACUUGUGGCUUCCCUAUGAACAAAUCCCCUACAUGU
ensembl:snoRNA